rnacentral:rRNA from 1 species
GACGAACGCUGGCGGCGUGCUUAACACAUGCAAGUCGAACGGAAAGGCCCUGCUUUUGUGGGGUGCUCGAGUGGCGAACGGGUGAGUAACACGUGAGUAACCUGCCCUUGACUUUGGGAUAACUUCAGGAAACUGGGGCUAAUACCGGAUAGGAGCUCCUGCUGCAUGGUGGGGGUUGGAAAGUUUCGGCGGUUGGGGAUGGACUCGCGGCUUAUCAGCUUGUUGGUGGGGGAGUGGCUUACCAAGGCUUUGACGGGUAGCCGGCAUGAGAGGGUGACCGGCCACAUUGGGACUGAGAGACGGACCAGAGUCCUACGGGAGGCAGCAGUGGGGAAUAUUGCACAAUGGGCGGAAGCCUGAUGCAGCAACGCCGCGUGCGGGAUGACGGCCUUCGGGUUGUAAACCGCUUUCGCCUGUGACGAAGCGUGAGUGACGGUAAUGGGUAAAGAAGCACCGGCUAACUACGUG